GACGAACGCUGGCGGCGUGCUUAACACAUGCAAGUCGAACGGAAAGGCCCUGCUUUUGUGGGGUGCUCGAGUGGCGAACGGGUGAGUAACACGUGAGUAACCUGCCCUUGACUUUGGGAUAACUUCAGGAAACUGGGGCUAAUACCGGAUAGGAGCUCCUGCUGCAUGGUGGGGGUUGGAAAGUUUCGGCGGUUGGGGAUGGACUCGCGGCUUAUCAGCUUGUUGGUGGGGUAGUGGCUUACCAAGGCUUUGACGGGUAGCCGGCCUGAGAGGGUGACCGGCGGAAGGGGGACGGGGAGAGGGGGCAGUCACAGAGGGGAGCGGGGUGUGGGUGAUAUGGAGCGGUGGGCGGGAGGGUGGUGGAGGAGGGCGGGGGGGGGGGUGGAGGGCUGCGGGUGUGAGUCCGCGGUCGCCGGGGAGGGGGAGGGAGGGACGGAAGGAGGGCAGGACGGACCGGCUGACUACGCGGCAGCAGCCGCGGUAAUAAGGGGAACGGCAGGCGUCGGACC
rnacentral:rRNA from 1 species